GGAGGUGUAGCUCAGUGGUAAAGCGCUUGCCAGCCAUGCAUGAGUUCCUGGGUUUCAUCCUCAGUACCCCCA
rnacentral:tRNA from 1 species